GAAUANCCUGGUAGUCCACGCCGUUAAAGAUGUUUAAUAAGUUGGUAGGGGUCCCAUGAGGGACCUUUGGUGAGGCAAGCCUUAACGCAAAAUAAAGUAGGACCCGCCCUGGGGGAGUUACCGGCCCGCCAAGGAUUUAAACCUCAAAAUGGAGUGGACGGGGGCCCCGCACAAGGCGGUGGAUCAUGUGGUUUAAUUUCGAAGCAACGCGAAGAACCCUACCAGGGCUUGACAUCCUCGGAAGUCUGCAGAGAUGCGGAUGUGCCUUCGGGAACCGAGUGACAGGUGCUGCAUGGCUGUCGUCAGCUCGUGUUCGUGAGAUGUUGGGUUAAGUCCCGUGGACGAGCGCUUACCCUUGUCCUUAGUUGCUAGCAGGUAAUGCUGAGAACUCUAGGGAGACUGCCGGUGACAAACCGGAGGAAGGUGGGGACGACGUCAAGUCAUCAUGGCCCUUACGUCCUGGGCUACACACGUGCUACAAUGGUUGGUACAGACGGUCGCUAAGCCGCGAGGUGGAGCUAAUCCGAAAAAACCAAUCGUAGUCCGGAUUGGAGUCUGCAACUCGACUCCAUGAAGUCGGAAUCGCUAGUAAUCGUGAAUCAGAAUGUCACGGUGAAUACGUUCCCGGGCCUGUACACACCGCCCGUCACACCAUGGGAGUGGGUUGCUCCAGAAGUGGCUAGUCUUACAACUUCGGGGGGACGGUCA
rnacentral:rRNA from 1 species